UGACUCAGAGAGAGGGGAUCGAGUUGAUGAUCCUCCAGAAACAGAGGAAUACGUUAGCCGAUCUCUUCUCUUUUCUCCACAUUUCACAGUGACUCUUGUCCUUCUCAUCAUCAAAGGCACUGACACCUCCCGCUCUCUGUAUAAACCUAGAAAAUAUCAAAAACCCAUUUCUCUGAUUUUAUCUAAAACCUAAUUGGAGGAGGAUUUUAAUUUCUGUUUCCUGAAAACCCUUUUUUGUUUUUUUGGUUGGUUAUUGAUUUGAAUCAGAAAAGGUUAUAUUUAUUGGGAUUAUAUUUAAGAUUUAAAGGAGAUGGUUUGUUCAAGACCUAGUGUGCCUCCGUCGUGGAUGAGUGCGGCUGCAUCAAGAGUUGAUUUUGAAGGGAAUGUUUCUUCAAUGUCUGAUUCUAUUUUCACACCACCGCCGCCUGAUCCUGUUGGGGCUGCCAAUAAAAUUGUUGAUGUUAAUUUAGGGUUUGGAGAAAGAACUUUUUCUGCUGCUGGUGCUGCUGUUCUUUCUGUUAUUCUUGUCAAUCCUCUUGAUGUUGCUAAGACAAGAUUGCAAGCACAGGCUGCGGGUGUUCCAUACUCAAAUGUAACCGAAUAUGUUUGUGCUCGGAUGACAGCUUUUCGGACGAGCGGGAUAUUUUCAGAUUUGAGAUGUAGUCCUUCAUGUGCUCGUGCAGCAUUAUUUGGUCCAUCAUUUAUAUGCCCUCCUGAUUGCUUUACGUACAAAGGAACGCUAGAUGUUUUCAAUAAAAUUAUUCAACAGGAAGGAGUUGCAAGGUUGUGGAGGGGUACAAAUGCUGGCCUAGCACUAGCUGUACCAACUGUUGCGAUAUACUUACCCAUGUACGAUGUCCUUCGCAACUGGAUGGAAGAUCUUACCAUCAGGAAUGCUCCGUACUUGACUACUUAUGUACCCUUAGUUUCAGGCUCCUUGGCACGUUCAUUAGCCUGCAUUUCUUGCUAUCCUAUUGAACUCGCUAAGACCAGGAUGCAGGCAUUUAAAGAGGUCCAAGGUGGUGCGAAGCCUCCUGGUGUGUUGAAAACUUUACAUGGAGUUCUCCCAUCUUCUGAGUACUCCAAUAACAUGCAAAACUUGCAAAGAUACCGCACGUUGUGGACAGGAGUUGGAGCACAACUUGCUCGCGAUGUUCCCUUCUCUGCAAUUUGCUGGUCAACACUUGAGCCGAUGAGAAGAAGGCUUCUUGGUCUGGUGGGUGAUGAAGGCAAUGUAGCAGGAGUCCUUGGGGCCAAUUUCGCAGCAGGAUUUGCUGCAGGAGGCCUCGCAGCUGCUGCCACAUGCCCUCUAGAUGUUGUAAAAACACGAAGGCAAAUAGAGAAGGACCCAGCCAGGGCACUGAGAAUGACGACAAGGCAAACACUGAUGGAAGUUUGGAGGGAUAGAGGAAUGAAAGGCCUCUUUACAGGUGUAGGGCCACGUGUUGCUCGUGCUGGUCCAUCCGUAGGUAUUGUAGUUUCCUUUUAUGAAGUUGUGAAAUACGUGGUACAUGAAAGGCGUGUGAAUGCAUUAUAAGAGGCUAGCAGAAGAAAAUGUUCUAUUAAAGAGUUUUUGAAAGCCGCCUCCGCUUCAAGUGAUGUACCUGGCGAGGAUCGUAUGAGAGACCCAAAAUUUUGCCUCCAAAGUUCAAACCCUUAGUGGAAAUACCCGAUUAACGAAAAUAUGUGUAUCCUUUGAUGAUUACCAAAGGCUGAUCUUUAUUUGUAUGAUCGAAGUCAAAGGUCAUCCUAACUCUCAGAAAUGAAAUGAUGAUAGCCAAACUCUUAUGCAUGAAGGUCGGCCAAUACAACCAAACGCAGAGUGAGAGAGUACAUAUGCACUGACAGAAGUAAACUAUGUUAGCAGUACCGCGUGCUCCCAAAAAUCAACAUCGACUGAACAAAAUUCCUGGUUAGAAUGCCUAAACGAGCAUAACAAAAUUGGAGUGUUAGUCCCACUUUGACAACUAUACUUUUUAAAACACCACUGGCUGGAGGUGUUCCAAUCUUCUAGCCGUAAUAAGACAUUGUAAGCCACUUCCACAUAAUUUGAAGACUUGUUAUCAAAGAUUUUUGCACAUCUGGGUUUCCAGAUGAGCCAAAUUGUAAAACACGUAGUAUCAUACAUCUUAAAAUCUUUACCAACACUAAUAUUGACUGUGAAGAAAAAAUC